rnacentral:rRNA from 1 species
UGGCGGGUGCUAUACUGCAAGUCGAACGCUUCUUUUUCCACCGGAGCUUGCUCCACCGGAAAAAGAAGAGUGGCGAACGGGUGAGUAACACGUGGGUAACCUGCCCAUCAGAAGGGGAUAACACUUGGAAACAGGUGCUAAUACCGUAUAACAAUCAAAACCGCAUGGUUUUGAUUUGAAAGGCGCUUUCGGGUGUCGCUGAUGGAUGGACCCGCGGUGCAUUAGCUAGUUGGUGAGGUAACGGCUCACCAAGGCCACGAUGCAUAGCCGACCUGAGAGGGUGAUCGGCCACAUUGGGACUGAGACACGGCCCAAACUCCUACGGGAGGCAGCAGUAGGGAAUCUUCGGCAAUGGACGAAAGUCUGACCGAGCAACGCCGCGUGAGUGAAGAAGGUUUUCGGAUCGUAAAACUCUGUUGUUAGAGAAGAACAAGGAUGAGAGUAACUGUUCAUCCCUUGACGGUAUCUAACCAGAAAGCCACGGCUAACUACGUGCCAGCAGCCGCGGUAAUACGUAGGUGGCAAGCGUUGUCCGGAUUUAUUGGGCGUAAAGCGAGCGCAGGCGGUUUCUUAAGUCUGAUGUGAAAGCCCCCGGCUCAACCGGGGAGGGUCAUUGGAAACUGGGAGACUUGAGUGCAGAAGAGGAGAGUGGAAUUCCAUGUGUAGCGGUGAAAUGCGUAGAUAUAUGGAGGAACACCAGUGGCGAAGGCGGCUCUCUGGUCUGUAACUGACGCUGAGGCUCGAAAGCGUGGGGAGCAAACAGGAUUAGAUACCCUGGUAGUCCACGCCGUAAACGAUGAGUGCUAAGUGUUGGAGGGUUUCCGCCCUUCAGUGCUGCAGCUAACGCAUUAAGCACUCCGCCUGGGGAGUACGACCGCAAGGUUGAAACUCAAAGGAAUUGACGGGGGCCCGCACAAGCGGUGGAGCAUGUGGUUUAAUUCGAAGCAACGCGAAGAACCUUACCAGGGUCUUGACAUCCUUUGACCACUCUAGAGAUAGAGCUUCCCCUUUCGGGGGGGCAAAGUGACAGGUGGUGCAUGGGUUGUCGUCAGCUCGUGUCGUGAGAUGGUGGGGUUUAGUCCCGCAACGGAGCGGCAUCCAUAAUGAUAGUUUGCCAUCAUU